ACUCCUGAGGCUCGAUCCCGCCUUUGCUUAUGCCGAGCCUCCUUCCUCAUGACCUUUGCCACGGGCAGAGCUGCUCACGCAGGCUCCCGGCAGUCAUACGAUGAUUUUUAUAUCCUGUUUCCUUCUUUUUUUUGACUUGAAGUCUAUUUUGUCUGAUGUGAGUAUGGCUAACACUCAUUUUCUUCUGGAUGUCAUUUUCUUGGUGUAUCAUCUUCCAUUCCCUCACAUUGAGCUCAUGUUUUUCUUGACAAUUGAGGCACUCUCCAGGUUUCACACAAGAUGUCUGGAACUCAAACAGGAAUCUGCAGCCUUACCAUCCUGAGGACCUGGAGGGCAAAGUUAACACAAUCCCCUGGAUUGUGAAAUGUCAGGCCCAGGAAGCUGACUCUGAAAUGAAGGUGAGCAGGAUGGGAGCUGAAGAACUGAAUUGCAGACCCAACUGCUGCCCUAUACCAAUAAGAUCAACCAGCAGAAGAACUAUGGUGUGAUUUUAGACAUCAACAGAAAGCUUAUUAAGAAUUGACAUGAAUUUUAUAAUCCAUCAUUAUACCAAUUAAUGUAAAAAAUAUUAUACUUUAACAUUUAGUGAUACACUAGAUAUAUAAAUUUUAUAAGGAAAGAAAUAAUUGAAUCACCAUUUCAUCUCUGUUUUCUCAUUCACUAGUAUCAAGUCAUUGACCUAAUAUCUGGGGGAAAAAAUAAAGGAAAAUGUACGGUUUCACUUUUUGAA